rnacentral:rRNA from 1 species
AUUGAACGCUGGCGGCAGGCCUAACACAUGCAAGUCGAACGAGUGGCGGACGGGUGAGUAAUGUCUGGGAAACUGCCUGAUGGAGGGGGAUAACUACUGGAAACGGUAGCUAAUACCGCAUACCAUCAGAUGUGCCCAGAUGGGAUUAGCUAGUUGGUGGGGUAACGGCUCACCAAGGCGACGAUCCCUAGCUGGUCUGAGAGGAUGACGAGCAACACUGGAACGUAGACACGGUCCAGAAUCGUAGUGGAGGCAGAAGUGGGGAAUAUUGCACAGUGGGCGCAAUCCUGAUGCAGCCAUGCCGCGUGUAUGAAGAAGGCCUUCGAGUUGUAAAGUACUUUCAGCGGGGAGACGUUACCCGCAGAAGAAGCACCGGCUAACUCCGUGCCAGCAGCCGCUGUAAUUC